AACCUUUACACCACAUGGAGGUCUCAACGCUUCCCGGCGAGACCUAGGUCCAUCUUGUCGAGUUCCCCAAACUCGCCGAGUACCCCUGAUAUUGUAAUCCUUUGUGCUCACCACAUAUUAUUAUAUAAGAAAAGAGAGAACGAGAGAGCAAGGCAGUAAGUAGGUCUGUUACCCGCAUUGGGUACAGGUAACCUGCUGUGACGUUCUCACAACUACAAAUCCACGUACUUGUUCUAGUAUUGUUGUUAGGAUCUGACCAAAAAAAAUAAAAUCCUUCGACACCACCUAUUUAUUUGUUACCAUUGAUUUAUUUAGCAUUUCAUUUACUUGCGACAUACCAGGAAAGUACCUCCCGCAUCUGACACGGACCACCGAAGAAACCCCCAAAAGGCAAAAGAAGUUUACCCUCGCCUCCCACAUGCAAAGGAAACGACCAAA